rnacentral:lncRNA from 1 species
UGUCAUUCGUAUCGAUCGAUUCGUGGGAAUAUUAAAAAUGAACAGAAUGAAAUUGUCGAAGUAUAUCGAUCGAUUUAUUUCGAGUUGAUUAAUUAAUCGAGCGUUUCGUGUCCUUUUCCGAUGCUGGUUUAUAUAAAGUCUUUUACAAGAGAUAAAUUAUUCCAAUUUCCGGCGAUCGUGUGGGGCAUUAUGAAACGAGGCACGAAGUAACAGCACCGAGCCGAUGGAUAUUGAGAUCGGCGGAUGGACGUGCCAAUCGUUGGGAAGUCCGAACUCGGAGGAAAGUACGAAGCCGGGAUCCGGCGUGGUCUUCUUGGUUGUUCUUGUCGUCAUUGGCA